AUUGACCCUCAUGUUGAACCAUGCAGGUUACGUCGUUGUGAUGUUAACAGAUUUGGUGAAACUAAUUAUCCUCUUCCUCCAUCUUGUCUGAUAUCAGUGUAUGGAUCACCUGAUGCUGUCCCUACACUACAUUACUCCAUACCACUGGAAGGUGUGGCUGAUCCUGUUUCAUUAUUCAUCCGUAGAUCACUACAGAGAAAUCCUCCUCCUUCAACAGAUCCUACUACCUCCUCCUCCUCCUCUAAUGUAGUACAUGA